rnacentral:lncRNA from 1 species
UCUCACUUCUGUUUUUAUAAGGUAUUUUCAUAACACAGUGUUGUUUGUUUGCAAUUAUUGUUUGGCUGCAGUGACACAAGAAGCUGUUGGAGACGUUCAGCAGUCCUCAUUCGAAACAGAGCAAUUAGAAAAGAUUGUGAUGAAGUCACUUGCCCAGAGUCAAAAGCAACACUAGCCACUAGGUUUUCCCUCUUCAGAACCCGAUCCUGUGCUCAAUGAAGGCAAUGAAAAUAUUUCCAUUUUGUUCAAGGCCUCCUACUGCUUCCAGCCUGAGACAACGAUGACGCCAGCAAAGGCAGUAACAAAGCUCCAGCUCAGAAAAAGAGGAGGCCCAGUGGAAGAGAUUUUGUCGAGCUCCGUACUGGCAGAUCCUAUUGGAAGAUUGGUGUCUGUAACUGAGGGAAUCGGAUGACACUGCAAGCAAAGUUUGGCCAGUAUAUGUGCUUCUGAGCUGACUAGAUCAAAGCCACUAUUUGUGUUAGCUGGACAUAUAUCUACUUGAUUUUCCAGUGGUGCAAGGAUAAAGUCACAGCAAGGGCUGACAAAGAGCCUGCAAGCCUGUUCUGACAUCUUUUCUUCGUUCCUAAAAGAAGAAUGUGAUGCUCUAUGUAUAUGAAAAUUACUUUUAAAUAUAGCUAAAGCUACAAUAAAAAUCAUCAAAGAAUCGUAAAGUUCCCCGCA